UAUCUUUGCCCCCGAAUUGGUUCCGAAUGAAUGAUUCUGUCAUUCGGAUUAAAAGGGAAUCGGGUGCAAAUCCCGGACAGUCCCGCUGCUGUGAAACUCUGCUAAAAUCUUGGAAAAAACCUUUGCCACUGAUAGUUUAUUGUGUAAUAUCGGGAAGGCUUCAAGAUUAGGAGUCAGUCAGAAGACCUGCCAUUCAUUAAAGGCUGCC
rnacentral:ncRNA from 2 species